CUGCAACAGAGAGCAUUGCCUACAUAAAAGCAUUUGGUAAACCUUACAUCUUUAUGAAAAUGUUACUUACUGCCAUUGUGGAUGGUUCAGAAAAUGUGCUUGUUAGUUUUGUCUGACUGGUCAGCCAUCCAGGGCUUUUCUAAUGAGGCAAUGAACCCAACAGGGGUGAGGGGAUGAGCUGCCAAGCCUUUCACAUCAACUUUGUGUGCACUAAUUAAACAUCAUGCCUGGAUAAAUGGCCCAGGAUGACAAAGUCCACAGCUUCUCACAGAUGGUUCCAGAAAGUCGCAUGGUUGGCUGGAGAGAAUUUGGUCAUGAAUAAGACGCAACCUCAUACCUCCUCCACUGGCUCUGUGUGAACAGGUUAUGAACUGGUUUCUGUGGAUCAAAGAGAUGACUGCACCAAGGAUGCAAAGGAAGUGAGGAUAGUCAUUUCCCAGGAAUUGAUACUUAGGCCAGGAGGUCUUGGAAGUGUCAGGCAAGUCCUUGGGCGGCUUCAAACUCAGGGACGAAAUGAAAUCUCAAACUAUUUGACUGACUGUGUUGCAGUAGCUCCUUCCCCAUCGUCAAGAGCUUCAUUCUGUAAGUCCCCCUAAUGGAAAUAAGUAAACCCUAUUGGAACAUCUUAACUGCUGGGACUUUUUCAUUAUUGUAAUGAUGAUAAGAUAAACCAUUUCCUCUUGUUUUCAAUGGGUGUUGCCUUUCAAGAUGAAAACAUAACAGAAAUAAAAUAAA
rnacentral:lncRNA from 9 species